GCAUGCCUACAACAUAGCAUUAAUGCACCGGAUCCCAUUAAAACUUCAUAGUUAAGCAUGCUCGGGCUAGAGUAGUAUUGGGAUGGGUGACCGCUUGGGAAUCCCUAGUGUUUUACAUGCC
rnacentral:rRNA from 1 species